rnacentral:rRNA from 1 species
AAGGGGGACGGCUUGGAUUUUUGGAGGUUUGCUGGUCUUCCACCGAACGGAGGUCGGCUCUUCUGAAUUUGCAUAGGGGUUGGGGCGAUGUCGCCCCCGAGGGCUUUUGGUGUGAUAACGAUCCGUUCGAACGCCAAGGUCGGGGCGACGCAUCCCNGCCAUCAUGUGGGCUUUGUUGGAAUCUCUGACCUCAAAUCAGGUAGGACUACCCGCCGAACUUAAGCAUAUCAAUAAGCGGAGGAAAAGAAACUAACGAGGAUUCCCUCAGUAACUGCGAGUGAAGUGGGAAGAGCUCAAAUUUAAAAUCUGGUGGUCUUUGACCGUCCGAGUUGUAACCUAGAGAAGUGUCAUCCGCACCGGACCGUGCCCAAGUCUCCUGGAACGGAGCGUCACAGAGGGUGAGAAUCCCGUCUCCGACACGGACCACCGGGGCUUUCGCGAUGCGCUCUCGAAGAGUCGAGUUGUUUGGGAAUGCAGCUCCAAACGGGUGGUAAAUUCCAUCUAAAGCUAAACAUUGGCGAGAGACCGAUAGCGAACAAGUACCGUGAGGGAAAGAUGAAAAGAACUUUGAAAAGAGAGUUAAACAGUACGUGAAAUUGUUGAAAGGGAAACGCUUGGAGUCAGUCGCGUCGGCCAGGAAUCAACCUUGCCCUUUUUUGGGGGUUUGAUGCAUUUUUUGGUCGACGGGUCAGCAUCGAUUUCGACCGGCGGACAAAGGUCAAGGGAAAGUGGCAUCUUCGGAUGUGUUAUAGCCCUCGAUCGCAUGCGUUGGUCGGGAUCGAGGAACUCGGUGCGCCCUCUUGGGUUGGGCCUUCUCGGGCCACAAUCGCGCUUAGGAUGUUGGCGUAAUGGCUUCAAUCGACCCGUCUUGAAACACGGACCAAGGAGUCCACCGUGCGUGCGAGUGUUCGGGUGGAAAACCCGUGCGCGCAAUGAAAGUGAAGAUCGGGAUCUCCUCCGUCCGUCGGGGCGGUGGGGGGAGCACCGAUGCCCGGACCUGAACUUUUGUGACGGCUCCGCGGUCGAGCAUGCAUGUUGGGACCCGAAAGAUGGUGAACUAUGCCUGAAUAGGGUGAAGCCAGAGGAAACUCUGGUG